rnacentral:rRNA from 1 species
CGAAAGCCUGACGGAGCAAGACCGCGUGAGGGAGGAAGGCUCUAGGGUUGUAAACCUCUUUUAUCAAGGAAGAUAAUGACGGUACUUGAGGAAUCAGCAUCGGCUAACUCCGUGCCAGCAGCCGCGGUAAUACGGAGGAUGCAAGCGUUAUCCGGAAUGAUUGGGCGUAAAGCGUCCGUAGGUGGUUUUUUAAGUCUGCGGUUAAAGCGUGUAGCUUAACUACAUAAGAGCCGUGGAAACUGAAAGACUAGAGGCAAGUAGGGGUAGAGGGAAUUCCCAGUGUAGCGGUGAAAUGCGUAGAGAUUGGGAAGAACACCGGUGGCGAAAGCGCUCUACUGGACUUGAACUGACACUGAGGGACGAAAGCUAGGGGAGCG